GACGUAGGGCGCGAGCGUUGUCCGGAUUUAUUGGGCGUAAAGAGCUCGUAGGCGGCUUGUCGCGUCGUCCGUGAAAACUUUGGGGCUCAACUCCAAGCUUGCGGUCGAUACGGGCAGGCUCGAGUUCGGUAGGGGAGACUGGAAUUCCUGGUGUAGCGGUGAAAUGCGCAGAUAUCAGGAGGAACACCGGUGGCGAAGGCGGAUCUCUGGGCCUGUUCUGACGCUGAGGCGCGAAAGCUAGGGGAGCGAACAGG
rnacentral:rRNA from 1 species